rnacentral:misc_RNA from 1 species
AACGCACCUUGCGCCUUUUGGUAUUCCAAAAGGCAUGCCUGUUUGAGUGUCAUGUAGACUCAACCUCCAAGGUUUUUUGACCUUGUUGGCUUGGACUUGGGCGCCUGCCUCUGGCUCGCCUUAAAAGCGUUAGUGGGAUCAACCGAAAGCCCGAUGUAAUAAGUUUCAUCUGGUCUAGGCAAAGCCUGCUCACAACCCCAUCUUAUGACUCUGACCUCAAAUCAGGUAGGACUACCCGCUGAACUUAA